CGGGAUGUAGCGCAGUUUGGCAGCGCACGCGCUUCGGGUGCGUGAGGUCGCUGGUUCGAAUCCAGCCAUCCCGAC
rnacentral:tRNA from 1 species